AUUGAACGCUAGCGGCAUGCCUAACACAUGCAAGUCGAACGGCAGCGCGGGGAGCUUGCUCCCUGGCGGCGAGUGGCGGACGGGUGAGUAACGCGUAGGAAUCUGCCUUGUAGUGGGGGACAACCCGGGGAAACUCGGGCUAAUACCGCAUAAUCUCUACGGAGCAAAGUGGGGGAUCUUCGGACCUCACGCUAUAAGAUGAGCCUGCGUCGGAUUAGCUUGUUGGUGGGGUAACGGCCUACCAAGGCAACGAUCCGUAGCUGGUCUGAGAGGACGAUCAGCCACACUGGGACUGAGACACGGCCCAGACUCCUACGGGAGGCAGCAGUGGGGAAUAUUGGACAAUGGGGGCAACCCUGAUCCAGCAAUGCCGCGUGUGUGAAGAAGGCCUUCGGGUUGUAAAGCACUUUCAGUAGGGAAGAAAGGCUUAAGGUUAAUACCCUUGAGAGUUGACAUUACCUACAGAAGAAGCACUGGCUAACUCUGUG
rnacentral:rRNA from 1 species